CCUACGGGUGGCAGCAGUGGGGGAUAUUGCACAAUGGCGGAAACCCUGAUGCAGCGACGCCGCGUGUGGGAAGACGGUCCUCUGGAUUGUCAACCACUGUCCCCAGGGACGAAGAUGCCGGUACCUGGGGAGGACGCUCCGGCUACCUACGUGCCAGCAGCCGCGGUUAUACGUAGGGAGCGAGCGUUGUCCGUAAUUACUGGGUGAAAAGGGAGCGUAGGCGGGGGUGCAAGUUGGGUGUCAAAACUACCGGCUCAAGUGGUAGUCGCACUCAAAACUGCAGCUCUGGAGUGAAGUUGAGGCAGGCGGAAUUCCUAGUGUAGCGGUGAAAUGCGUAGAUAUUAGGAGGAACACCAGUGGCGAAGGCGGCCUGCUGGGCUUUGACUGACGCUGAGGCUCGAAAGUGUGGGGAGCAAACAGGAUUAGAUACCCUAGUAGUC
rnacentral:rRNA from 1 species